GAGGGUAUAGCUCAGUGGUAGAGUGCGUGGUCAGCAUGAGCGAGGUCCUGGGUUCAAUCCCCAGUACUUCCU
rnacentral:tRNA from 1 species